UCCGGGGCCGUCUCGCAGGCUGCGGCGGCCGCGGGAGAGGCGUCCACAGCGGCGGCAGCUGGGGCAGCGGCGGACGCGCGGCCGAGCAGGGCGGCGGCGACCCCGGGUCCUUCUGUGGUACACCCAGCAAAAGAUUAACACUCACUUGACGAAGGAGAAACGACAGGACUCUAGGGGGCCACAGCCCUGGUUUGGGAGCCCAGACUUGCCA